rnacentral:rRNA from 1 species
AACGAACGCUGGCGGCAGGCUUAACACAUGCAAGUCGAACGCCCCGCAAGGGGAGUGGCAGACGGGUGAGUAACGCGUGGGAACAUACCCUUUUCUACGGAAUAGCUCUGGGAAACUGGAAUUAAUACCGUAUACGCCCUACGGGGGAAAGAUUUAUCGGGGAAGGAUUGGCCCGCGUUGGAUUAGCUAGUUGGUGGGGUAAAGGCCUACCAAGGCGACGAUCCAUAGCUGGUCUGAGAGGAUGAUCAGCCACAUUGGGACUGAGACACGGCCCAAACUCCUACGGGAGGCAGCAGUGGGGAAUAUUGGACAAUGCGCGCAAGCCUGAUCCAGCCAUGCCGCGUGAGUGAUGAAGGCCUUAGGGUUGUAAAGCUCUUUCACCGAUGAAGAUAAUGACGGUAGUCGGAGAAGAAGCCCCGGCUAACUUCGUG